UUCUGAAUAACAAUGCAAACAUAAACACACAACUAUGGUAAAACUUUUAACUCUUAACCUGCUGGGAUUCACGCAUUCUGUGCGAGGAUAAGGCUCGGUUAGAGAAAAGUUCACUAUCCACACUUAGCCCGCACGUCAAAAUGCGGGCUUUUUUUAUCGAAU
rnacentral:ncRNA from 18 species